rnacentral:rRNA from 1 species
GACGAACGCUGGCGGCGUGCCUAAUACAUGCAAGUUGAGCGCUGAAGGUUGGUACUUGUACCAACUGGAUGAGCAGCGAACGGGUGAGUAACGCGUGGGGAAUCUGCCUUUGAGCGGGGGACAACAUUUGGAAACGAAUGCUAAUACCGCAUAAAAACUUUAAACACAAGUUUUAAGUUUGAAGGAUGCAAUUGCAUCACUCAAAGAUGAUCCCGCGUUGUAUUAGCUAGUUGGUGAGGUAAAGGCUCACCAAGGCGAUGAUACAUAGCCGACCUGAGAGGGUGAUCGGCCACAUUGGGACUGAGACACGGCCCAAACUACUACGGGAGGCAGCAGUAGGGAAUCUUCGGCAAUGGACGAAAGUCUGACCGAGCAACGCCGCGUGAGUGAAGAAGGGUUUCGGAUCGUAAAACUCGGUUGGUAGAGAAGAACGUUGGUGAGAGUGGAAAGCUCAUCAAGUGACGGUAACUACCCAGAAAGGGACGGCUAACUACGUG